rnacentral:sRNA from 1 species
UUGACUCUCAAAUGAGAACGCUUAUUAUUCAUCUCACCUGGUCGCGAGAUCAGCCGGUAAACUGAAGCACGGGUAGUAGGUUUCAGGUUAUCUCCUCAUCAAGGCUAAUCACGGUUUUUGACCCGGCUCUGCCGGGUCUUUUUUUG